rnacentral:rRNA from 1 species
AGUGAACGCUGGCGGUAGGCCUAACACAUGCAAGUCGAACGGCAGCACAGUAAGAGCUUGCUCUUACGGGUGGCGAGUGGCGGACGGGUGAGGAAUACAUCGGAAUCUACUUUUUCGUGGGGGAUAACGUAGGGAAACUUACGCUAAUACCGCAUACGACCUACGGGUGAAAGCAGGGGAUCUUCGGACCUUGCGCGAUUGAAUGAGCCGAUGUCGGAUUAGCUAGUUGGCGGGGUAAAGGCCCACCAAGGCGACGAUCCGUAGCUGGUCUGAGAGGAUGAUCAGCCACAUUGGAACUGAGACACGGUCAAGACUCCUACGGGAGGCAGCAGUGGGGAAUAUUGGACAAUGGGCGCAAGCCUGAUCCAGCCAUACCGCGUGGGUGAAGAAGGCCUUCGGGUUGUAAAGCCCUUUUGUUGUGAAAGAAAAGCAGCAGGUUAAUACCCCGCUGUUCUGACGGUACCCAAAGAAUAAGCACCGGCUAACUUCGUG